CUGAGAGCACAUGGACCCAUAUUGUUUGCUCGCCCCCAGAGAUUCUAUAAUAGCCAACUGCAGGGGGGCCCUUCCUUGAGCUCGAGAGCUUUCGACGACCUACCGCAGCGCAUUUCUACAGCGAAGCAAAGAGCGUUGUGUGUCUUGAUUGAUGUCCCGUGUUUUUACAGUUUUGAAGGGCGUGUCUGUUUGUUUAUCCAUGUCCAUGUCAAAACACACGACGAUUAUUGUUCAGCAUGUCCAUGUCAAAACAUACAUCGAUCUUGA
rnacentral:misc_RNA from 1 species